rnacentral:rRNA from 1 species
AUUAACGCUAGCGGCAGGCAUAAUACAUGCAAGUUGAACGGCAGCACAGGUAGCAAUACUGGGUGGCGAGUGGCGCACGGGUGCGUAACACGUAUGCAACCUACCCUAUACAGGCGAAUAACCUUUAGAAAUGAGGGCUAAUACGCCGUAGUAUUACAGAUGGGCAUCUAUUUGUAAUUAAAGAUUUAUCGGUAUAGGAUGGGCAUGCGUCCCAUUAGUUAGUCGGUAAGGUAACGGCUUACCAAGACGAUGAUGGGUAGGGG